rnacentral:rRNA from 1 species
GGGGGGGGCGGGCGGGGGGCGUGGCGCGUGCGGGUCGGGGGGGGAGGGCCGGCGGUGGGGGGGGGCGCGGGUGGCGCGCGUGUGGGUGACGCUUGCGUAGCGUGCCCUGGACUUUGGGCUGUCUGCACGACACUGGGUCUCAUACCGGAUAGGAGCUGCUGCUGCAUGUUGGGGGUGUGACAGUUGGGGCGGUUGGGGAUGGACUCGCGGCUUCUCAGCUUUUUGGUGGGGUUGUGGCUUACCAAGGCUGUGACGGGUCGCCGGCAUGAGAGGGUGACCGGCCACAUUGGGACUGAGAUACGGCCCAGACUCCGACGGGAGGCAGCAGUGGGGAAUAUUGCACAAUGGGCGGAAGCCUGAUGCAGCAACGCCGCGUGCGGGAUGACGGCCUUCGGGUUGUAAACCGCUUUCGCCUGGGACGAAGCGUGAGUGACGGUAAUGGGUAAAGAAGCACCGGCUAACUACGUG